UACGUAGGUGGCAAGCGUUGUCCGGAAUUAUUGGGCGUAAAGGGCGCGCAGGCGGCCUGUCAAGUCUGUCUUAAAAGUGCGGGGCUCGACCCCGUGAUGGGACGGAAACUGGCAGGCUGGAGUGUCGGAGAGGAAAGCAGAAUUCCUAGUGUAGCGGUGAAAUGCGUAGAUAUUAGGAGGAAUACCAGUGGCGAAAGCGGCUUUCUGGACGACAACUGACGCUGAGGCGCGAAAGCCAGGGGAGCAAACGGGAUUAGAUACCCCGGUAGUCCUGGCCGUAAACGAUGGGUACUAGGUGUAGGAGGUAUCGACCCCUUCUGUGCCGGAGUUAACGCAAUAAGUAUCCCGCCAGGGGAGUACGGCCGCAAGGCUGAA
rnacentral:rRNA from 1 species